rnacentral:rRNA from 1 species
UACAGAGGGGGCAAGCGUUGUUCGGAAUUACUGGGCGUAAAGGGCGCGUAGGCGGCCAUCUAAGUCAGACGUGAAAUCCCCCGGCUCAACCUGGGAACUGCGUCUGAUACUGGACGGCUUGAGUUUGGGAGAGGGAUGUAGAAUUCCAGGUGUAGCGGUGAAAUGCGUAGAUAUCUGGAGGAAUACCGGUGGCGAAGGCGGCAUCCUGGACCAAUACUGACGCUGAGGCGCGAAAGCUAGGGGAGCAAACGGG